GUGUAUGGUGAGGUAGGCAGUAGCCAGCGUGGGUGCGUGCUGAUAAGACGGGGGAAGAUAAAAAAAGAGAAAAAUGAUUAUGAAGAAAACUGCUACUGAGAAACACUAGCACGCACUGACAGAAAAAGAAAAAGAAACUAGAAAAAAAAACAGAAACCAGUGAAGUCUCUAUUGUGUGUUCUCUACCGUUUCAUCUGUGUACGGGAGGAGCGUGUGUAUGUGCGUGUAGGGGUCUCUCUGCGUGUGUGCGUAGUGACGUCAUCAUGUGGACGGUAAAGGAGGCAGACGCACACGGAUGAAGGAAGUGACGCCUCAGCACCAAAACCUUCCCUGAAAACUCCAACGCCAAGACAAAGAAAUCAAGAGAGAAACGCCACCAGGAACAACCACGUUACCCACUCGAAGCUGACCCCACCCUUCCUUCCCUUACCCUUCUUUACCCUUCCCCUUUCCUCCUGCAGUUGUCCUACCCAAACCUGACCUUACCUACCCUUCCCUUCCUCUCUUUCUCUUACCUAUUCCCUUUCUCCUGGUCUCUGUAGUCCCCCUCCCCGAAGCUGACCCCACCCUUCCUUCCCUUACCCUUCUUUACCCUUCCUCUUUCCUCCUGCAGUCGUCCUAUCCAAACCUGACCUUACCCUUCCUUCCCUUCCCCUUUUCUUCUUACCUAUUCCCUUACUCUUCGUCCCUGCACUUUCCUACCCAAACCUGACCUCACUCUUCCUUCCCUUCCCAUUCUUUUCUUCCUUUUUCCCUUCCUCCUUGUCCCUGCAGUAACCUACCCAGCCCUGACCUCUCCCUUCCUUCCCUUCCCCUUUACCCUUCCUCCCUCCCCUUCUCGUCCCGGCACUCCUCUUCCUCCCCAAAGCUGACCUCACCCUUCCUUCCCUUCUCUUCAUCUUCUCCCUUCCUCCCUCCUCCCCUCCGCACUCCCAUUUCCUCCCCAUCUUCGUCUCCGCAAGCCCACGCACACCCCUCGCAUUCGUUCCCAAGAUGGAGACGUUCGAGAAGAGAAGAAACACGAGGGAGAACGGGAUGAAACAAACUCCAGGGUACAACUUCGAAGAUAAGGGCGCGGGUCGGUGGUCUCAGUACCCCCGCAGACAGCGCAUGGAACAGGUGGAACUGGACACAGUGGGCAAGAUGGAAAACGAAGGAUACGUCGAGAGCCACAAGCGCGAAGAUGCCAACAACAGAAGCAACUUCGUCCCCAUGGGUUAUAACGCCGAAGGUGAGACAGAGAGAGAGAGAGAGAGAGUGAGAGAGAGA